rnacentral:rRNA from 1 species
UACGGGGAAGAAGAUCAACAGGGAUUGCCCUAGUAACGGCGAGUGAAGCGGCAACAGCUCAAAUUUGAAAUCUGGCUCUUUUAGAGUCCGAGUUGUAAUUUGCAGAGGGCGCUUUGGCUUUGGCAGCGGUCCAAGUUCCUUGGAACAGGACGUCACAGAGGGUGAGAAUCCCGUACGUGGUCGCUGGCUAUUGCCGUGUAAAGCCCCUUCGACGAGUCGAGUUGUUUGGGAAUGCAGCUCUAAAUGGGAGGUACAUUUCUUCUAAAGCUAAAUAUUGGCCAGAGACCGAUAGCGCACAAGUAGAGUGAUCGAAAGAUGAAAAGCACUUUGGAAAGAGAGUCAAACAGCACGUGAAAUUGUUGAAAGGGAAGCGCUUGCAGCCAGACUUGCUUACAGUUGCUCAUCCGGGUUUCUACCCGGUGCACUCUUCUGUAGGCAGGCCAGCAUCAGUUUGGGCGGUAGGAUAAAGGUCUCUGUCACGUACCUCCUUUCGGGGAGGCCUUAUAGGGGAGACGACAUACUACCAGCCUGGACUGAGGUCCGCGCAUCUGCUAGGAUGCUGGCGUAAUGGCUGUAAGCGGCCCGUCUUGAAACACGGACCAAGGAGUCUAACAUCUAUGCGAGUGUUUGGGUGUCAAGCCCGAGCGCGUAAUGAAAGUGAACGGAGGUGGGAACCCGCAAGGGUGCACCAUCGACCGAUCCUGAUGUCUUCGGAAGGAUUUGAGUAAGAGCAUGGCUGUUGGGACCCGAAAGAUGGUGAACUAUGCUUGAAUAGGGUGAAGCCAGAGGAAACUCUGGUGGAGCUCGCAGCGGUUCUGACGUGCAAAUCGAUCGUCAAAUUUGGGCAUAGGGGCGAAGACUAAUCGAACUAUCUAGUAGCUGGUCUGCGUUCCUCCUCUCCUCAAAAAAGAGAGGAAAAAAUCCCUAAAGUUUGUGUAUUAAUACAUCUUCUCUCUCUCUUCACACAUUGUAUGAAAAGAAUAUGGAGGUCGAAAACGCAUUCCGGCCCUCCCCAAAAGUUUUCCCCUGGCUUCACCUAUAUUCAGGCAAAAAGUUACACAUCUUUUGCGGGUCCCAACCGCCUUGCCCUUUACUCCAAUCCAUCCUCGAGCAGAUGUGGGAAGGGUGGAAUGGGGUGGCCGUCGUCGCUCCACCCUCGGUUUGAGUUGUCACACACACACGUCUGAGAGAGUUGAAUAC